rnacentral:rRNA from 1 species
GAUGAACGCUGGCGGCGUGCUUAACACAUGCAAGUCGAACGGGCAGUCUUUUAUUGUAACUUCGGGCGAUUUAAUUCAAUUCUAUUGGCGGCCGGGUGAGUAACGCGUGGGUAGCCUGCCUUAAACACGGGGAUAACAGUCAGAAAUCGCUGCUAAUACUGCAUAAGCGCACACAGCUGUAGGGCUCAGUGUGAAAAACUCCGGUGGUAUAAGAUGGACCCGCGUUGGAUUAGCUUGUUGGCAGGGUAACGGCCUACCAAGGCGACGAUCCAUAGCCGGCCUGAGAGGGUGAACGGCCACAUUGGGACUGAGACACGGCCCAGACUCCUACGGGAGGCAGCAGUGGGGAAUAUUGCACAAUGGGGGAAACCCUGAUGCAGCGACGCCGCGUGAAGGAAGAAGUAUCUCGGUAUGUAAACUUCUAUCAGCAGGGAAGAUAGUGACGGUACCUGACGAAGAAGCCCCGGCUAACUACGUG